rnacentral:rRNA from 2 species
UGUUCCGCCAGGAGCAUGGCUGGGUAGCUACGUACGGACGGGAUAAGCGCUGAAAGCAUCUAAGCGUGAAGCCCCCCUCAAGAUGAGAUUUCCCAGUAUGUAAGACCCCUUGAAGACGACGAGGUAGAUAGGUUGGAGGUGGAAGUGCAGCAAUGCAUGGAGCUGACCAAUACUAAUCGGUCGAGGGCUUAUCCAA